AAAAAGGGCCGUCGCCGGUCUACCGGGCAAUUACACCCGCUCGGUGGAAGAUCUUCUCUCCGUUGU
rnacentral:pre_miRNA from 1 species